rnacentral:rRNA from 1 species
UGCAGUCGAGCGGUAAGGCCUUUCGGGGUACACGAGCGGCGAACGGGUGAGUAACACGUGGGUGAUCUGCCCUGCACUUCGGGAUAAGCCUGGGAAACUGGGUCUAAUACCGGAUAUGACCUCCUAUCGCAUGGUGGGUGGUGGAAAGAUUUAUCGGUGCAGGAUGGGCCCGCGGCCUAUCAGCUUGUUGGUGGGGUAAUGGCCUACCAAGGCGACGACGGGUAGCCGACCUGAGAGGGUGACCGGCCACACUGGGACUGAGACACGGCCCAGACUCCUACGGGAGGCAGCAGUGGGGAAUAUUGCACAAUGGGCGAAAGCCUGAUGCAGCGACGCCGCGUGAGGGAUGACGGCCUUCGGGUUGUAAACCUCUUUCAGCAGGGACGAAGCGCAAGUGACGGUACCUGCAGAAGAAGCACCGGCUAACUACGUGCCAGCAGCCGCGGUAAUACGUAGGGUGCAAGCGUUGUCCGGAAUUACUGGGCGUAAAGAGUUCGUAGGCGGUUUGUCGCGUCGUUUGUGAAAACCAGCAGCUCAACUGCUGGCUUGCAGGCGAUACGGGCAGACUUGAGUACUGCAGGGGAGACUGGAAUUCCUGGUGUAGCGGUGAAAUGCGCAGAUAUCAGGAGGAACACCGGUGGCGAAGGCGGGUCUCUGGGCAGUAACUGAC